rnacentral:tRNA from 1 species
UGGCGGGUAGCUCAGUGGUUAGAGCGCGAAUAUCCUUGUUCGACUUUAUUGCCUUCACGGGACGAAUGAAUGAGGGUUAUCGACUUAAGUUCGCGAGGUCGCAAGUUCAAUUCUUGCUCCGCCAC